rnacentral:rRNA from 1 species
UGUAAGCGUAUACCAAAGUUGUUGCAGUUAAAACGCUCGUAGUCGGAAUUUGGCAGUUCCGGAUGUGUGCACGUCGUGUGCGCACUUCGCGGGGAUUGCUUUUGUGGUCUUGCGUAGGAUGAGGCACUUUUAUUAGUGAACGUCCUCACGCAACCACUUUUUACUGUGAGAAAAUCAGAGUGCUCAAAGCAGGCAUUUGCCGUGAAUGUAUUAGCAUGGAAUAAUAGAAUAGGACUUGGUUCUAUUUUGAUGGUUUGUUGGGACUGAGUAAUGAUUAAGAGGGACAGUUGGGGGCAUUUGUAUUUCGGUGCUAGAGGUGAAAUUCUUAGAUUACCGAAAGACAAACUGCUGCGAAAGCGUCUGCCAAGGAUGUUUUCAUUGA